CCUGACCUAGCGGCGGACGGGUGAGUAAUGCUUAGGAAUCUGCCUAUUAGUGGGGGACAACAUUCCGAAAGGAAUGCUAAUACCGCAUACGCCCUACGGGGGAAAGCAGGGGAUCUUCGGACCUUGCGCUAAUAGAUGAGCCUAAGUCAGAUUAGCUAGUUGGUGGGGUAAAGGCCUACCAAGGCGACGAUCUGUAGCGGGUCUGAGAGGAUGAUCCGCCACACUGGGACUGAGACACGGCCCAGACUCCUACGGGAGGCAGCAGUGGGGAAUAUUGGACAAUGGGCGAAAGCCUGAUCCAGCCAUGCCGCGUGUGUGAAGAAGGCCUUUUGGUUGUAAAGCACUUUAAGCGAGGAGGAGGCUACUGAGAUUAAUACUCUUGGAUAGUGGACGUUACUCGCAGAAUAAGCACCGGCUAACUCUGUGCCAGCAGCCGCGGUAAUACAGAGGGUGCGAGCGUUAAUCGGAUUUACUGGGCGUAAAGCGUGCGUAGGUGGCUAAUUAAGUCAAAUGUGAAAUCCCCGAGCUUAACUUGGGA
rnacentral:rRNA from 1 species